GCUUGUCAACUAAAAUUAGUUGAAAUACGAAAGCCACAGAGCUAAAAGUUCAGUUGGAUUUGGAAUUUCACACAAAAAUUAUCUGUUUUUUUUUUUUUUUUUGGUUUUUUUAUUCAGUGGCAAAACUUAGCGGAAUUAUGGAUUCACAAUGGCAAAACUUAGCUAACACGAGUUUAAGGAUCGGCUAAGAUGUGUUGGCACGCAGUAUCGUUUUGGAUUUACCACAAAUCUUAAGCAAAGAAGUGGAUAAGGUUAUUAAAAGCUCAAAGCGGGACACGAGGCUAUCGCUAAAAUCGAUAGAGGAAAGGGAUAAAAUGAGCUCACCAUAUGAAAUGCGAACAAUUAAAUUAUAUCGGAAGUGGAUUUACAAUGCUAUGAGGAAAAAACGGAAGCAGAUUUGGCCCAUUGGAAAUUUAAAAGGUGUACACUAAUAACUAUGAAAAAUGGAAUAAAAUUUAUACGAAUGAGCAUUAGGAUGGAUAUUUUAAAAUGGAAACAAGAGGAACAAGUAAUAAUGAACAUUAUUCCAUUAAUAAAAUCUUUGUAAAUGAACAUGAGGAACAAUACACUGAAGAGGAGAAUACAAAUAUACCCAAAAUGAAAUCAAGAAAGUAAAUGAACCCUAAAUGAUUAUUGCUGCUGAACAUACAUUUUGCGGCUGAAUAUACAUAUUGCUAUUAAACAUACAUAAUGCUAAUGAACAUACAUUUUGCUGCUGAACAUACACUUUGCGGCUGAAUAUAAAUAUUGCUAUUGAACAUACAUUUUGCUGCUGAUCAUACAUUUUGCGGCUGAUAUUACAUAAUGCUGUUAAACAUACAUUUUGCGGUUGAGCAUACAUUUUGCGGUUGAGCAUACAUAAUGCUAAUGAACAUAAAUUAUGUAUAUGAACAUAAACAUGAGAAUACUUUAGGAAUGAAUAUAAUUAAAAAAAUGAAGAUGGAAACACUGGAAAUGAACAUCAAAGCAGAAAACAUUCUUGGAUGCAAGCUCGUUUGGAAUUCACGCAGAGGAUUAGCUCAAGGAACUAUGAACUAGAUGUACGAUAGAUGAAGAAGAGAAGAAUUCGAUUUCCCCCUGGGAUACUCACAGCAGUUGGUCUCCUCGUCGCUACCGUCCUCGCAGUCCCGCUUGCCGUCGCACAGCUGCGACUUCAGGAUGCACUUGGGCGUUCCGCUGGCUCCGCCGCGCGGACACAGGUGCUUGUUGUCCGGACAGGCGAUGGCCGUGCAGUUGGCCUCGUCACUCUUGUCCGCACAGUCGUGGUAGCCGUCACAGUGGAAGUUGUACGGGAUGCACAGCGCGUUGGAGCACCGGAACUGGGCGUGGUGGCAGGGCGGAAAGUCUGGAAAACACAUAAUGGAAUACAUAAAUAUAUGUGCAUUACAAUUCUACAAACACCUUUUGGGAACUAUUCGACGCCGAUAAUCCGCAUCGACCAAAAAUUAGAAAUUUAACUUGGUUUUUGUUAUAUUGUUAUAAAUUAAAAAAUGAGCCCAAUCAUAGCUCAUUUUUUUUUAAAUAUAUUUGUACUGUAUUCAGCUAAUUGGUUAAAUCUAAAUCUAUAUAUUUUAAACUUUUACAUCCAAUAUGUUAUGUAACAAAAAUGCACCAACUCUAUAAAUGUUACCAACUAGCUAUAAACAUAAACUAAAAAAUAUACAACUUUAAAGACUAA